GAAAAGAAGUGUUAGGAUUUGUGUUUUUGUUCUCUCCCCCUCCCUUUUCUGUUUCAGAGCUUGAGUGUGGCAGGGGGCGUGGCUGGCUUUUUCCGGAGCAGACGAGACACACCUGCAAUCAAUCCCUUCAUCUACCUCAGUAUUUAGCCCUGGUCUCCUCAUCACCACUUUGCCAGAUAAUUCCGUCCUGUUCGGUGUCUCCUGGUCGUCUGCCGUUGCCUCCGGAGAAGUUGGCCAGCUCCCUGCCUCCUCAGCCUGCCUUCGUUUGUACAAUAAACUGCUUAAACUUGA